rnacentral:rRNA from 1 species
GCCAGAGGCCACUGCUAUCGGGGUUCGAUUAAGCCAUGCGAGUCGAGAGGUGCAAGACCUCGGCGCACUGCUCAGUAACACGUGGAUAACCUACCCUCAGGUGGGGGAUAACCCCGGGAAACUGGGGAUAAUACCCCAUAGACCAGGGACGCUGGAAUGCCCCCUGAUCGAAAGGUCCGCCGCCUGAGGAUGGGUCUGCGGCCGAUUAGGUUGUUGUUGGGGUAACGGCCCAACAAGCCUUUGAUCGGUACGGGUUGUGAGAGCAAGAGCCCGGAGAUGGAUUCUGAGACACAAAUCCAGGCCCUACGGGGCGCAGCAGGCGCGAAAACUUUACAAUGCGAGAAAUCGUGAUAAGGGAACCCCGAGUGCCCGUAAAUUCGGGCUGUCCAUCAGCGUAAAAAACUGGUGAAGAAAGGGCCGGGCAAGACCGGUGCCAGCCGCCGCGGUAAUACCGGCGGCUCGAGUGGUGGCCACUAUUACUGGGCUUAAAGCGUCCGUAGCUGGAUUGUUAAGUCUCUUGGGAAAUCCGCCGGCUUAACCGGCGGGCGUUCAGGAGAAACUGGCAAUCUAGGGACCGGGAGAGGUGAGAGGUACUCCAGGGGUAGGAGUGAAAUCCUGUAAUCCUUGGGGGACCACCUGUGGCGAAGGCGUCUCACUAGAACGGCUCCGACAGUGAGGGACGAAAGCUGGGGGAGCAAACCGGAUUAGAUACCCGGGUAGUCCCAGCUGUAAACGAUGCGCGUUAGGUGUAUCGGUGACCACGAGUCAUCGAGGUGCCGAAGGGAAACCGUGAAACGUGCCGCCUGGGAAGUACGGUCGCAAGGCUGAAACUUAAAGGAAUUGGCGGGGGAGCACCACAACGGGUGGAGCCUGCGGUUUAAUUGGACUCAACGCCGGGAAGCUCACCGGAUAAGACAGCUGGAUGAUAGCCGGGCUGAAGACUCUGCUUGACUAGCUGAGAGGUGGUGCAUGGC